rnacentral:rRNA from 1 species
GACGAACGCUGGCGGCGUGCUUAACACAUGCAAGUCGAACGAGAAUCUGUGGAACGAGGAUUCGUCCAAGUGAAGCAGAGGACAGUGGCGGACGGGUGAGUAACGCGUGAGGAACCUGCCUUUCAGAGGGGGACAACAGUUGGAAACGACUGCUAAUACCGCAUGACACAUAGAUGUCGCAUGGCAUUUAUGUCAAAGAUUUAUCGCUGAAAGAUGGCCUCGCGUCUGAUUAGCUAGUUGGUGAGGUAACGGCCCACCAAGGCGACGAUCAGUAGCCGGACUGAGAGGUUGAACGGCCACAUUGGGACUGAGAUACGGCCCAGACUCCUACGGGAGGCAGCAGUGGGGAAUAUUGGGCAAUGGGCGCAAGCCUGACCCAGCAACGCCGCGUGAAGGAAGAAGGCUUUCGGGUUGUAAACUUCUUUUGUCAGGGACGAGUAGAAGACGGUACCUGACGAAUAAGCCACGGCUAACUACGUG